UGUAUUAGAUCACCCUAUAUAUUAGAGAAGUGUUUUUGUAUAUUAUGAGAGAACUUGUAGAGGCUUCACUUUGGGAGAUGAAAAUAUAUAUGUUACUGUAUAUGCGUGUGUAAUAUGUAUGGAAAUGAUAUAUUUUGGAUUGACGUAUGUGAAGCUUAAAUGUUUUUGUAACAGUUAAGUAAUUGUUCUCUCGCUCUUGUAAAACUGCUCUCGUGUAAUUCAUGUAUGUUGUUGUUUCUCCUGGGCAACACUCUAUGUACAUGAUGUUAUUGAGCCUUAGGCGGACAAGAAAGGCUCUGUCCGUUUGGCGGUCUGUGUGUGUCCAAACCGACCAAAGUGGCGGUCUCGAGGCAUGGCAUAUAACAUUCUUCCCCAACUCAACCUCUCUCUCUCUCUAUGUGUGUAACAUACCGAACUUCUAAAACUAUGAAGUUACGGUGUACAUUUAAAUGGUUCCGAUGAGGUUGCGGUGGAGUGUAACAUACCGGAUUUUAAAUAUAAAAGGGAAAAUAAAUAAAAAUAAUAUUAGAUGCUAUUUUUAUUGGAUUUAGAGAAAUGAAAUAUAGGUUCAGAAUGACCUGUGCUGAAAUCGAAGCGAAAACAGAAGAUCUAGAAUUUUCUGUUGGAAACGGGACAGAUAAAUUAGCAGAAAAUGCAGUCUCAGAAAAUUAUGAAAAUUGGAGGAUAUGUCAGAAAUAUUUUUAUGAGGCUAGAUUUAAAGUUUCAUAUUUUUCUGACACCCGUAGAGUGAGAAAUAAAAUCCGAUAGCUAUCUGAUAAAGAUUACAGUUCGGCACAGUUUUCAGUGACCAAACGGGGUCGAAACUGAACCAGUGAUCGUCAGCUUGUUAAGUUAUGUAAAACCGAACAUGACUGUCAAAUUUGAGAUCAAACGGAUAUUCAGGGAGCUGCGGCGAAAGAUAUCAGAUUUCAAGCUGCCCGGGAUGAAUAGUGUUUUGAGGGGUGUUAAUUAUAAGAGAAGCAGCAGCUUCUUCUUCUUCCCUCAACCGUGCACACCCAAGCAUCACACGCACACACGCAUGGAAGGAGAAGAGAGAAGCCUCUCUUUCUCUCUCUAAAUCUCUCCCAAAGAAGAGGAUUUUGGUGGAGAUUGAAGCCAAGAGAGGAUUCAUCGUCUUCAUCAUCAUCUUCUCCACCUUGAGGGCAAGCUUGAGAGGUAAGCUUUUGCUACCCUUUAAUGGUAGAUCUUUAAUGGUUGGUUUAAAUACCUUAUAAAUGGAUUUAGUGGAAUCCUAUGAUGCUAAAUAGAUGAUUGUUGCUUAAAUCAUGGAUCAAUUUAAUGAUUUCUUGCAAUAGGUGAAACCUAGGGUCCAAAAUGCUAAUUUUUAAAAUAUGAGGGUUUGAUCUAAUUUGACCAUCCGUAAACCUAAUUGCUAGGUAACGAAAUGCGUUGGCGAAGACGGUUCGGCAAUCCGACGAGCCGUUACGAAGUUAUUAAAGAAACGGACGUUUAGGCUUCGGGUCCGCCGGGAGGGCCGAGGCGACGUCGUAAAAUCAUGGAAACGGAUUUGAAGCAUCGUGGCCAUAACCGAAGACCUUUAAUUUCUGGAUCGUGAAUUGGAGGCCGUUUGGGUGGUCGCACGCGAGAUCGGGCCAAACCGGGUGCCGGGUGCCGCGGGCGGCCGAUUGCAGGUGUCGACAAACAAUCGGAACGCGUGUUAAGGUGGGUUGUGCUUACCGAAGCGACUUGGUCGCCCCACAUGUCAAAGCGAAAUAUGGAUUUUUGGUUAAUGCAUUUAUGUAUGUGCAUACGGGCAUAUUUGCAUUGUGUAAAUGCAUGCUAGUUGGUAAUUUGCAUAUUAGUAUGUAUGCUUAGUGAAAUACAUGCUUGGGGCAUUUAGCAUUAUGAGAUUCAUGUUGACAUGUAUUAGAAAACAUGAGCAUAUAAAUGAAUGUUAACCUAUUGUUAAUCUUAUGAGUUAUGAGAUCAUGUUGGGUAAUGUUUAGUGAUAAUUGCAUAAUAAUGCAUUGGGAAGUAAUCGCUUAUUAACUAGGAUGCAUAGCGAUAUAUAUGUGCAUUGGAAUGUAUGCUAGGUGCAUGUAGCAUUAUGUGAGCCGGUUGGAUAAAAAUGCAUAAGUGCAUCAUGUGAAUACAAGUUAGAUUGACAAGAGCAUAUUGAC
rnacentral:lncRNA from 1 species